GUUUCCAACCAAAGACAUGCACGCCUCGUGCCUUCUUUUGUCAAUCCUUAGGUAUCAUAAAUCUCUCUCUCUCUCUCUCUCUCUCUCUCUCUCUCUCUCUCUCUCUCUCUCUCUCUCUCUGCGGGAAGGUUUCUUUUUAAAGGCUUUCCAGCAAAGAGCUAAGACGCUUCAUCACUCCUUCGAUUCCUCAUUUCUGGGUUUGGUCUUUCUGGGGACUGGUCUCGUGGGCAUACAUGUGUGUUGGUUUGAGAGGUUGAAGCUGCCAGCAUGAUCUGGUCAUCUUGCAGCUUCAAUCACUCAUUCACCAACAAAAAGGGGACUCCUUGUUCAAUGGCUUGUCUCCCCCAAUACUUCUUAGCCCAGGUAAUUCUCUGUUAUUUCCCCCUAAAAUUCACUAUAUUUUUAGCCAAUGAUAGUGAUGACAUUCUUUUAUCAUUGACCAAUAUGCCUCAUUUUCUUGGGUUCAUUUGAAUUUGAUGGUAUUGGAUGAUCUCGGUCAUACAAUCCAAAAUAUCCAAAAAGAAAAUUCUCCUGUCCACAUAAUUGAAAAGAAAACAAAAACAAAAACUAGGGGACAUGGAAGGCCACAUACGGUAUGAGAAAUUGACAAUACAUGUGCGGAUACGCCAAUCAAAGUCAAUGCUUUGUUUGUGUUCUUUUCCCUUUUCCCCAUGUAAAUAAUACCUAAUUCACACAUCUCCAGA